rnacentral:snoRNA from 1 species
UGCUGUGAUGGUGUAAUUUGCGUCUGAGACCUGUGAACAGUGACAGUUGCCUGCUGUUAUUAAGCUGUCACAGAGUAUUGAUGUGUGUUAAAGUCUGAGCA